UACGUAGGGGGCAAGCGUUGUCCGGAAUCACUGGGCGUAAGCGCACGUAGGCGGAUCUUUAAGUCAGGGGUGAAAUCCUGGAGCUCAACUCCAGAACUGCCUUUGAUACUGGGGAUCUUGAGUCCGGGAGAGGUGAGUGGAACUGCGAGUAUAGAGGUGAAAUUCGUAGAUAUUCGCAAGAACACCAGUGGCGAAGGCGGCUCACUGGCCCGGUACUGACGCUGAGGUGCGAAAGCGUGGGGAGCAAACAGGG
rnacentral:rRNA from 1 species